rnacentral:rRNA from 1 species
UGGGGAAUAUUGCACAAUGGGCGAAAGCCUGAUGCAGCAACGCCGCGUGGAGGAUGAAGGCCUUCGGGUUGUAAACUCUUGUCUUCUGGGACGAUAAUGACGGUACCAGAGGAGGAAGCCACGGCUAACUACGUGCCAGCAGCCGCGGUAAUACGUAGGUGGCAAGCGUUGUCCGGAUUUACUGGGCGUAAAGGAUGCGUAGGCGGAUAUUUAAGUGGGAUGUGAAAUACCCGGGCUCAACCUGGGUGCUGCAUUCCAAACUGGAUAUCUGGAGUGCGGGAGAGGACAGUGGAAUUCCUAGUGUAGCGGUGAAAUGCGUAGAGAUUAGGAAGAACACCAGUGGCGAAGGCGACUUUCUGGACCGUAACUGACGCUGAGGCAUGAAAGCGUGGGGAGCAAACA